CCUACGGUGGGCUGCAGUGGGGAAUAUUGGGCAAUGGGCGAAAGCCUGACCCAGCAACGCCGCGUGAAGGAAGAAGGCUUUCGGGUUGUAAACUUCUUUUGACAGGGAAGAGCAGAAGACGGUACCUGUCGAAUAAGCCACGGCUAACUACGUGCCAGCAGCCGCGGUAAUACGUAGGUGGCAAGCGUUGUCCGGAUUUACUGGGUGUAAAGGGCGUGUAGCCGGGCUGACAAGUCAGAUGUGAAAUCCGGGGGCCCAACCCCCGAACUGCCUUGGAAACUGUUGGUCUGGAGUACCGGAGAGGCAGGCGGAAGUCCUAGUGGAGCGGGGAAAUGCGUAGAUAUUAGGAGGAACACCAGUGGCGAAGGCGGCCGGCUGGACGGCAACUGACGGUGAGGCGCGAAAGCGUGGGGAGCAAACAGGAUUAGAUACCCAUGUAGUC
rnacentral:rRNA from 1 species